rnacentral:misc_RNA from 1 species
GUGUUUUUGUUUUCUCUUGUUUCCAUUUCAUAUGCCGGUGAAAAACAAUCAGAGGUGGCGUGUAUAGAAGGUUUACUGUUCGUUUUUCGGAAAGGUCCAACGCCAAGAUGUCCCAAGCCCCAGGCAGCAGUAGUAAACCCACUGAGACUUGGAGCGCCGUAGAGUUUGUGGUUGAGAAGAUAUGUGGAAAGCGCUUCAAUUGCGGACGUCCCGAGCUUCUGGUAAAAUGGAUGGGAUUCCCAGAACAAGAUAACUCUUGGGAGCCCCUGGAGAACUUGGGCAACUGCAUACAAAUGGUCUGCGACUUCGAGGCGGAACUUUUCACCAAAACCUGCGGCAAAAGUUUAACGGUGGCCAUUCCCAGGGAUGUUCUAAACUUAUCGCCGAAGCCCCCCAUGGCUACAAGGUCCACAUUUAUGGCCAAUGCCAAGACUUCGAAACGUAAGCUCGAAUCCCCAAAAAAAAGACGUCAGUCAUCGGCGAGCAGCAGUAUUUCCAGCCAACCUGCAGCGAAAAAUUCGAGCUCCAAAAGCCAGACAAGGAGUGCUCCACCACUUUCAGUGUCAUUACUGAAUGAUUUGGACUUGAGCGAGCAGAGUGACGAUGAAGUUCUUGUAUCUACCCUGCAGAUGCUGCCGCCACUAAAGCCACCAGAGUCGGAUAAUCUGCGGAAUUCAGUUCCAGUGAAGGAAAGUUUAGAAAAAGAGAGGGAAACCUCUCCUAGGGAGAGAAACCUUUCUAGCUCCUCCUCAUCAUCGUGUUUGUUGUCUUCAACCGGAUCAGAAUCGGAUUCUACCCAGACGUCCAAAACCUCUAAUACUUCUAACGUGUCCAACACAUCAAUGACUCGUCAAGCGUCUCUGGCUCCCCCUCCUACAUCGAAGUGCCUUCCCCCAACUGAGAAGUCUCCAUCGCCGACCAAAUUACUUCCAUCUUCCCCCAAAACGGAAAAAGCAGAAGGCGAUUUGCUAAGUUCGCUGAAAAUGAAGGCUCGUCAGUGGGAUAGGUCGAAUCGGGUGGUCAAGAUGGGUGGAUUUUUAGAAGCCGGAAUGUUUAAGCCAGUAAACGACGUAACGAACGAAGCUGUGAAAAUAGAACCCCCAUCUCCGUCGAUACGAGCGCAAAAAAAUGCAUUUUUAAUUCCGAAAGAAGAGCCCAUUGGUUCAACAUUGAUGCGCGAACAGGUACAUGGCGAACCGUCUAAGCACGUGCAGUGGCCAAAGAAUUUGAAGAAUCCUAUGCACCGGAGAAUGAGUUAUGCUAUGAUGAAAGAGGAAGUGGCGUCACCUGACGUCUCCCAGACCAAAAACGAAGUCCAGAAACGCCGGAGGGUGACUAUUGGUCCCGGAAACUAUAAAGUUAAAAUUGAACCGCCAAGUCCAGCAACGCCGGCAAUGCCCGUAUCCACAAGCAGGUCCAUCAGAAUUAAUAGCAGCUCUGGCAGUUCCAGGAGAAGCCCAUCAAGGCCCGCUUGGAAGAUGUCCCCGUCGAAAAAGGCUACGGUCUAUGGCCUCAAACGAGGGUUGCCGUUGGACAAAGUCUUCCACCGCUUUCGUGUGAAAGAUAAAACGUUUCUUAUCGUCUUGUGGAAGGGUUGUUCGCAGCCGGACGCAGUGCUUCUGGACGAGAUACAAGACAUUUACCCUUUACAAGUUAUUCAGUAUUUUGAGGGCCUGAAGCUGCGAUAUGACGCUCUAUAAUGAUGGUGCUAGUACUGGUACGUACAUGGCCUGGCUUUGGCUCCAAACAAAAAAGUUCUCAUCAUAAAUCAAAUAAAAUACAACACCAGCUGGCAACGGGACGGGACGCUACGAAGUUCAGGGUCAACGCAUUUUUAUUGAGACCUUUGGCGAUCCCUCCAUAUAGUAACCAGCUAGAGAAGCUGUCAUAUCUUGAUCUAUAGUACUGGAUGCUUGAUAAGAUUGAGUCCAUCAUUAUGAAAUACGAUAUUUUUCUUUUUUUAAACUUUGAAUGUCAAUCAAAAGUUCUUAGAACGAAGGAAUUUUGUAUCGAGUUUCGAUAUCUGAUAUUUUGUAAGAAAUUUAACGAUGAAGCACGUGUAUUUUAUGUUUUUUCCACCGAAUAUUCAUUUUCAGUGUUCGAAAUAAAGUUUAAAUAUAACCAA